AUUAGACGAAUCAUCUGGAAAGAUGAAUCAAAGAAGGUAAUAAUCCUGUAGUCGAAAAUGUUGUCUCUCUUGAGUGGAUCCUGAGUACGACGGAGCACGUGAAAUUCCGUCGGAAUCUGGGAGGACCAUCUCCUAAGGCUAAAUACUCUCUAGUGACCGAUAGUGAACCAGUACCGUGAGGGAAAGGUGAAAAGCACCCCGGAAGGGGAGUGAAAUAGAACCUGAAACCGUGUGCUUACAAGUAGUCAGAGCCCGUUAAUGGGUGAUGGCGUGCCUUU
rnacentral:rRNA from 1 species